UACGGAGGGUGCGAGCGUUGUCCGGAAUCACUGGGCGUAAAGGGCGCGUAGGUGGUGGCUUAAGCGUGCGGUGAAAGCUCGGGGCUCAACCCCGAGUCGGCCGUGCGAACUGGGCUCACUGGAGCAUAGUAGAGGCAGGUGGAAUUCCGGGUGUAGCGGUGGAAUGCGUAGAGAUCCGGAAGAACACCGGUGGCGAAGGCGGCCUGCUGGGCUAUGGCUGACACUGAGGCGCGGACAGCGUGGGGAGCAAACAGGG
rnacentral:rRNA from 1 species